CUAAUGGCUUCAGGCUGUCACUC
rnacentral:miRNA from 1 species